rnacentral:rRNA from 1 species
AGGAAUCUGCCUAUUAGUGGGGGACAACAUUUCGAAAGGAAUGCUAAUACCGCAUACGUCCUACGGGAGAAAGCAGGGGAUCUUCGGACCUUGCGCUAAUAGAUGAGCCUAAGUCGGAUUAGCUAGUUGGUGGGGUAAAGGCCUACCAAGGCGAAGAUCUGGAACCGGGCUCUAAAGGAUUAUCCGCCACACUGGGACUGAGACACGGCCCAGACUCCUACGGGAGGCAGCAGUGGGGAAUAUUGGACAAUGGGCGCAAGCCUGAUCCAGCCAUGCCGCGUGUGUGAAGAAGGCCUUAUGGUUGUAAAGCACUUUAAGCGAGGAGGAGGCUACUUUAGUUAAUACCUAGAGAUAGUGGACGUUACUCGCAGAAUAAGCACCGGCUAACUCUGUGCCAGCAGCCGCGGUAAUACAGAGGGUGCAAGCGUUAAUCGGAUUUACUGGGCGUAAAGCGCGCGUAGGCGGCUAAUUAAGUCAAAUGUGAAAUCCCCGAGCUUAACUUGGGAAUUGCAUUCGAUACUGGUUAGCUAGAGUGUGGGAGAGGAUGGUAGAAUUCCAGGUGUAGCGGUGAAAUGCGUAGAGAUCUGGAGGAAUACCGAUGGCGAAGGCAGCCAUCUGGCCUAACACUGACGCUGAGGUGCGAAAGCAUGGGGAGCAAACAGGAUUAGAUACCCUGGUAGUCCAUGCCGUAAACGAUGUCUACUAGCCGUUGGGGC